AGUUGCUGAGAAGGGGGCAAGCCCAGGAAAUUGUGGCCAUGUCUGUGGAUACUGCAGCGAGUGAGAUGACUCCUGCAAGGUUCUGAGCCAGCAGGGGGAAAGCUCAAGAAGCAGGAGAAAGUGAGGAAAGCUCUCCAGGCGGGGAGGCCUGGGAGAGACUGCCAACGCCCAAUGGGAAAGGCCUGUGGAGGAGGUCAAAGAAGAGGUGCUGGGAAGCAGGAAGACAGUCCCUCGGGGAGGUAGGGCUGUGCCCAGCUGAAGUUGGGAUGAAGACAGGAUGGGAAGGAUCCUUUAGAGAUAGAACCAGCUCAGUGGAUGGCCAUUGAGAGUUACAACAGAACCUCUCUCUGCUGUCAUUCACUAUCUCUCACCCCAUGAAGAUCAGAUAGGAAAAUCCAGGUACUUACGAGUGAUGGUCACUUGAGUUCCGACUCCUGACACAGACGAGUUCCUCACUGUGCUCCCCACCUCACACA